rnacentral:rRNA from 1 species
GAUGAACGCUAGCUACAGGCUUAACACAUGCAAGUCGAGGGGCAGCAUUUCGCUAGCAAUAGUGAAGAUGGCGACCGGCGCACGGGUGAGUAACACGUAUCCAACCUGCCGAUAACUCGGGGAUAGCCUUUCGAAAGAAAGAUUAAUAUCCGAUGGUAUAUUAAAACCGCAUGGUUUUACUAUUAAAGAAUUUCGGUUAUCGAUGGGGAUGCGUUCCAUUAGUUUGUUGGCGGGGUAACGGCCCACCAAGACUACGAUGGAUAGGGGUUCUGAGAGGAAGGUCCCCCACAUUGGAACUGAGACACGGUCCAAACUCCUACGGGAGGCAGCAGUGAGGAAUAUUGGUCAAUGGGCGAGAGCCUGAACCAGCCAAGUAGCGUGAAGGAUGACUGCCCUAUGGGUUGUAAACUUCUUUUAUAUGGGAAUAAAGUGAGCCACGUGUGGCUUUUUGUAUGUACCAUACGAAUAAGGAUCGGCUAACUCCGUG